rnacentral:rRNA from 1 species
CGAGCGCUGGCGGCGUGCUUAACACAUGCAAGUCGAACGGAAAGGCCCUGCUUUUGUGGGGUGCUCGAGUGGCGAACGGGUGAGUAACACGUGAGUAACCUGCCCUUGACUUUGGGAUAACUUCAGGAAACUGGGGCUAAUACCGGAUAGGAGCUCCUGCUGCAUGGUGGGGGUUGGAAAGUUUCGGCGGUUGGGGAUGGACUCGCGGCUUAUCAGCUUGUUGGUGGGGUAGUGGCUUACCAAGGCUUUGACGGGUAGCCGGCCUGAGAGGGUGACCGGCCACAUUGGGACUGAGAUACGGCCCAGACUCCUACGGGAGGCAGCAGUGGGGAAUAUUGCACAAUGGGCGGAAGCCUGAUGCAGCAACGCCGCGUGCGGGAUGACGGCCUUCGGGUUGUAAACCGCUUUCGCCUGUGACGAAGCGUGAGUGACGGUAAUGGGUAAAGAAGCACCGGCUAACUACGUG